rnacentral:misc_RNA from 1 species
AAUGAAUGUUCCUUUGCUGUAAAAUUUGUUUGUUGUAUAACCGAGUUCUGUUUGAAAGUUACCAAUUUUUAGGGCAAUGCAGAGACCUCAGUAUUUUAGGAUUAUUUUUUAAUUUAAUCACAAUUCUUUCUAAGCAAAUAAACAGAGGAUUUAUUUAUAGCAGUAUUUACCACAAUCUGAAUAGGUACAAUGUCAUGUGUAAUUUUCCUUUUAUUGGACAUUCCAAAUAUGAAAUUUUUUUGACUUGAUACGUGUACAAUAUUUGAAAAACAAAUUUAAUUUUUCAUCUAUUAUCUAUAUCUUUAGUAUAGCAUACUUUUCUAUUCAAAUCAAACAUACUGUACUUCUGAAAUUAACUAUGUGAAGAAAAAGCAUGUACAUGUAUAUGUAUUGAUAUGACAGUUGACAUAUUUCUGUAGAAGAGUUUACGUUCAUAAGUUUUUAUUUAAAAAAUUAUUUGAAAUAUUUUAUUUUGAUCAAAAUUAUAUCCAACUGAGACCAAUUCUGUUGAGACAUCAAUUUUCUAAGUAGGGGAUGUUUUUCUCUCUCUACUGAUAAAAUGACAGGUACAUAAGGUUCAACCUGUUAUUCCUCGCAUUGUUUUGAUAAGACAAAAAACUACUGCAGAUGGUAGCUGCCUUGGUUAUCUGCUUGACUGGGAUAAAAUCAAUGGGAACUUGUUAUUACUAGGGACACUCUCAGGUCCAUAAGCUAAAUUGGGUUCUUGAAGAGCUCAUUCAAUCUGUCCUUGAGAGAAACAUUACAUUAUAGGAAAGAGUUUGUUGAAAAUUUCUAAACGUGUGGUUUUUUAUGAACUUCAUAGUACUUGUCCAAAAAUCAGUUCAAAUAACACGUUUCUAAAUAUUUUACCUGGCACAAGGCUUUGUAUAGCAUAUUAAAUUUAAUAAAAGAUUUUGUCAAAACAUGCCAUAAUCAAUAUUGAAUGACUAUUUUUGGUCAAAUACUUGUUCUCAGCAAGGUUUACCCGUUAUCUUCAUUAUUUUUAACUUUAACUUCCUUUUCCACAGUGCAAGCAAGAUUGUCAUACAAGCAUGAAUCAGGAAAAAUUUUAAACUGUUUCACAAACACACCUAGUUCAGAGGCUGAAUGUCAAGGUUUGCACAGCUUUGAAACAUGUACAAGUCUGGGAGUGAUUUUAUUCUGUGCAAUUUCUGUUAGCUUUCUGUAAACAUGUAUAGGUUUAUUGCCUGCAAUGCAUGUUACAUGUAUUAGGUUUCACUGUAUUGCCUAAAAUUACAUAUACUUGUAAAACACAAUAUACAGUGUAUUUUAAAAUUGCAUAAUAGUUUUUUUUAAUUUCUAAAAUCUCUUCCAUUAUAUUUUUAUAUGUUGAAUUUUGUAAAAACAUAAUAAAGUGUCUCAACU